AUUACUUUUAACAACAGGUCAUCAAAUGUUGUGCAGUUUUGCACAACAUAUGCAAGCUGCGAAGUAUCCCCUUGCCUGAUGGUGAGUCGAUUGACCCAGAUGACGACGACCAACCACAGGUUGUACCACAGUUGUCUGGACAUAACCUGAUUUACAGGGAUCACUUUGCCAACACUCACUUCUAAAUUCAUCACAUUCAAGGCAUGGUUCAAGAUUGGAUCUCCUUGCUGGGGGAGCACAUCUUCCACUACUUGGUGCCGCAGUGACUGUGUGUAUGGCCUUGACAGUGGGAACUGCUGCAUCACUUGGAUUGCUUGGAGUAACCGCCACAUCUGCCACACUGGUGACCAUUUCCAGGCACCCUCCCACUGCUGUCAUUGCCUGGAUGUCUAAAAAUGACAUGGCAUCACUGAAAUUUAAAUAAACUAUAAUCAGUU